CAGGCCUAACACAUGCAAGUCGAACGAAGGCUUCGGCCUCAGUGGCGCACGGGUGCGUAACGCGUGGGAAUCUGCCCUGGGGUACGGAAUAACUCAGAGAAAUUUGAGCUAAUACCGUAUGAUGACGUAAGUCCAAAGAUUUAUCGCCCUGGGAUGAGCCCGCGUAGGAUUAGCUAGUUGGUGGGGUAAAGGCCUACCAAGGCGACGAUCCUUAGCUGGUCUGAGAGGAUGAUCAGCCACACUGGGACUGAGACACGGCCCAGACUCCUACGGGAGGCAGCAGUGGGGAAUAUUGGACAAUGGGCGAAAGCCUGAUCCAGCAAUGCCGCGUGAGUGAUGAAGGCCUUAGGGUUGUAAAGCUCUUUUACCCGGGAAGAUAAUGACUGUACCGGGAGAAUAAGCCCCGGCUAACUCCGUGCCAGCAGCCGCGGUAAU
rnacentral:rRNA from 1 species